UCUCCCUGUCUGACACAGACUCUCUACUUAGAGCGCUGGAGAGAGGACUGAAGCUCACACUAUCAGCACUGCUUCUCAAUGGGGGGAUGCAGCCAAGAGCAGACAGAGCAGUCAUUCCACUGGAGCCUUCCGCUGCACGCGUGAGAAGGAGACGACAAGUGAGGAGGGUAAAUUAGCUCCCUGUCAACAGAACAUAGGAGUUUUACUGACGGAGAAGAGACACUGAAGGAAGGAGAGCACAUCUUCACGAAUGUGGCUGAGACAGCAGUGACAUGAUCAGCCUUCCAUCCCUCAAAUCCUGGCCAGUUUGUAACAAAGACCCCUGGGUGUUUUGCUUUUGGUGACUGUUUGUGUUGCCAAAGGAUUUCAAAAAGAACCUGAGCAGCAGGGGUCCAAAAGGAUAUAUAGAAAGGAAAGAACAGCCUUUUUAGCUCCCUUUUGUGCAGUGUUUGGCUUAUCUGUUAGUGGAAUUUCAGGCUGAAAACCCUGGCUCCCAAGUAUGGAUGGAUUUAAGACUGAGGAGUGAGUCUGCUGGGCAGGCAGUGAUUCUGACUGAACUCCUUUGCUUCUGAACACAGCGCUCAGACUCGGCCUUACCAUGUCCUGGUUGUUGGCCAUGUGGAUUAGCCUCGGCUUCCUGCUGCUGUGCCAGGCAACUCUCUACCAGACCAUCCAACAGCACCAUGUGGCCCGGCCUGGUCGCACUGACAUUCUCACCCUGGAGGGUGGUACGUGCGAGGUGAUUGCUGCCCACCGAUGCUGUAACAAGAAUCGUAUCGAGGAGCGCUCUCAGACAGUCAAGUGCUCCUGUUUACCGGGGAAAGUGGCCGGAACGACACGCAACAAACCCUCCUGUGUGGAUGCGUCCAUUGUAAUUGGGAAAUGGUGGUGUGAGAUGGAACCGUGUCUGGAGGGAGAAGAGUGUAAGACUCUGCCUGACAACUCUGGAUGGAUGUGCUCCUCUGGGAACAAAAUCAAGACCACAAGGAACACCCAGCCAUACUCCCCUUUUUAGCUUCCGGAAGCAAAAUGCAGAGGAUGCGUCAACAGAAAUUGAGCUGCAUUCUUGCUUCUGUAAAGAUUCAUCCCAGGACCUAACAGAGAGCUCCCAUUGCAGGGCUCAGCGCCAGGCUCCUUCCCCUCAUGUACCCUUUCUCUUCUCAUCGAAUGGACUAAAACUAUUACAUCCACGGCUACUGACUGGAUUACCUGGGACCAUAGAAAGGAUAUCCACCCAGAUAAAACAGCUUUGCUCGCGUGGUGCCAAGGAUUUGAAACCAGACUAAUCCCGUGUUUGAUCAAUGAGCUCCAUGUUGGUGACUCUCCUCUUCCACACAGCUGUGGCCAGUUUCUGACCUACUCUUCCCUCACUCUGUUUCCCUAUUCAGAACUGAAGCAGCUUAGGAGGGGCUAUUUAGAGGUUGUUAAAACAUAAUUUGAAGACGUUCUCCCCGCCCGUCUGAGGGUGAACGUGUUGGCAAACUUUCAUAGACCUGAACCUGAAUCUGUGGAACUGAGGGCACAUUGGGGGAAAUUACGUCGCUUUAUUUUUAUUUCUGUGUGGAAAGCAUUUGUAUUUGACUCACUAACUGAGACUGAUGGCUUUGUUGUGGCUGCACCGAGGAAACUGUCAGCUGUUACCGCUAGAAAGGUCGAUUAAUGAAGACUCUCAGAGAGGCUUUAGGGUCAACCCCAUGGCCUCACGCUCAUCCUCCACGACGAACAUUCUGACUUUUAUUGGUGGGCAUGCCCAGUGUAAAUUCAUGAGCACUUCUUUUCUUUGUAUGUAAGAUAAUUUGUGUAUAUAUACACAUAUAUAAAUACAUUACAUGUUAAGCUGACAGAUCCAAGAAGCUGAAAAAUAUAUUUACAGAUUUCAAGCCCGUGUUGGAAUCCUGAAUAACCCUUGAACGUAAGCCAGAGGCUGUCGUCACAGUGCGGUGUGUCUAGGACUGCUUCGCGUUGGGGGGAAAAAGCCACAACGGAAUCAUAAAAAUAAGUUCUGCUCACUUUUGUCAUUCAGCAAUGUUGUUUGGUUACUCCAGAAAGCGCUUGUUGUUUCAGUAAAGCUGAGGAAAACACUG